rnacentral:rRNA from 1 species
GCGCAUAUCUGAGACGCAGGACCUUUUGAGGGCUUCGGCCCAAAGAAGAGUAAUUCCGGUCUGUGCCAGGAAAAACCUCUAAGGGAGUUUUUUUGUGCCCGUACCGUAAACCGACACAGGUAGACGAGGCGAAUAGCCUAAGGUGCUCGAGACAACUCGGGAGAAGGAACUCGGCAAAUUAACCCCGUAACUUCGGGAUAAGGGGAGCCUCCAUUUGUUAGUGUGAACAGCACAAAGCAUAAGGAGGCCGCAGAGAAAUGGCAGAAGCGACUGUUUACCAAAAACACAGGGCUAUGCAAACCCGUAAGGGAAAGUAUAUAGUCUGACACGUGCCCGGUGCUGGAAGGUUAACAGGAGAUGUCAGCGCAAGCGAAGCAUUGAAUCGAAGCCCCAGUAAACGGCGGCCGUAACAAUAACGGUCCUAAGGUAGCGAAAUUCCUUGUCGGGUAAGUUCCGACCUGCACGAAUCGUGUAACGACUUCUGCACUGUCUCCUCCCGGGACUCGGCGAAUUUGCAGUGUCGGUGAAGAUGCCGACAACCCGCACCGGGACGGAAAGACCCCAUGAACCUUCACUGUAUUUUGACAUUGGUUUUAGGCUUGACAUGUGUAGGAUAGGUGGGAGGCUUUGAAGCGGUGACGCCAGUCAUCGUGGAGCCAUCCUUGAAAUACCACCCUUGUCCGGUUUGAGAUCUAACCGUGGCCCGUCAUCCGGGUCCGGGACCGUGUCUGAUGGUCAGUUUGACUGGGGCGGUCGCCUCCUAAAUGGUAACGGAGGCAUCCAAUGGUUCCCUCAGCGCGGUCGGUAAUCGCGCGUAGAGCAUAAAGGCAUAAGGGAGCUUGACUGCGAGACAGACAUGUCGAGCAGGUACGAAAGUAGGGCUUAGUGAUCCCGCGGUACAGCGUGGAACGGCCGUUGCUCAAUGGAUAAAAGGUACUCUGGGGAUAACAGGCUGAUCUCCCCCAAGCGUUCAUAGCGACGGGGAGGUUUGGCACCUCGAUGUCGGCUCGUCGCAUCCUGGGGCUGGAGAAGGUCCCAAGGGUUUGGCUGUUCGCCAAUUAGAGCGGCACGCGAGCUGGGUUCAGAACGUCGUGAGACAGUUCGGUCCCUAUCCGGUGUGGGCGCACGAAAUUUGAGGGAACCUGUCCUUAGUACGAGAGGACCGGGACGGACGCACCUCUGGUGUACCGGCUGUCACGCCAGUGGCAUUGCCGGGUAGCUAUGUGCGGAUUGGAGAAACGCUGAAAGCAUCUAAGCGUGAAGCCAUUCCCAAGAUUAGAUUUCGCGGGGGCAACCCCCUAAAGGAUCGUUAGAGACCAUAACGUUGAUAGGUCACAGGUGUAAGCAUAGCGAUAUGUUGAGCCGAGUGAUACUAAUAGUCCGUGAGGCUUU